rnacentral:rRNA from 1 species
AGGAACGCGAAGAACCUUACCAGGUCUUGACAUCUUUUGAUCACCUGAGAGAUCAGGUUUCCCCUUCGGGGGCAAAAUGACAGGUGGUGCAUGGUUGUCGUCAGCUCGUGUCGUGAGAUGUUGGGUUAAGUCCCGCAACGAGCGCAACCCUUAUGACUAGUUGCCAGCAUUUAGUUGGGCACUCUAGUAAGACUGCCGGUGACAAACCGGAGGAAGGUGGGGAUGACGUCAAAUCAUCAUGCCCCUUAUGACCUGGGCUACACACGUGCUACAAUGGAUGGUACAACGAGUUGCGAGACCGCGAGGUCAAGCUAAUCUCUUAAAGCCAUUCUCAGUUCGGACUGUAGGCUGCAACUCGCCUACACGAAGUCGGAAUCGCUAGUAAUCGCGGAUCAACACCCCGCGGUGAAUACGUUCCCGGGUUCUUUG